GACGUAGGUGGCAAGCGUUGUCCGGAUUUAUUGGGUUUAAAGGGUGCGUAGGCGGCCCUGUAAGUCAGUGCUGAAAUAUCCCAGCUUAACUGGGAGGGUGGCAUUGAUACUGCGGGGCUAGAGUACAGAUGAGGUAGGCGGAAUUGACGGUGUAGCGGUGAAAUGCUUAGAUAUCGUCAAGAACACCUAUAGCGAAGGCAGCUUACUAGGCUGUAACUGACGCUGAGGCACGAAAGUGUGGGGAUCAAACAGG
rnacentral:rRNA from 1 species